rnacentral:misc_RNA from 1 species
UAGAGUUUUCAAAACUCCCAACCCAUGUGAAUUUACCUUUGUUGCCUCGGCGGACCUACCCGGUACCUACCCUGUAGCUACCCUGUAGCCCGCCGGUGGACUAUUUAACUCUUGUUAUUUUAUAGAAAUCUGAGCGUCUUAUUAAAUAAGUCA